rnacentral:lncRNA from 1 species
GCUGGCCAGGGGCUGUGGCCGGAAGAGCCUGAGUCUGGGGCCCACAGCAGGCCAGGCACAACUCUGCCACUCCCCAGGGAAGGAGAUGACUUUUAUCAUCAGUACAUGUCACAAGAAAACAUUUAAAAUGACACUGAAACAAUCAUUGAAAUCAUGGUGCAUGGAGGAAAAAGCCACUUCUCGACAUGGUCUGCACAUACAGUAGAUACAUUCAUUAUUGUCCAAGGGAAGACAGUAACUGCCUUUCAUUUUAAAGAGCUUGGUGGAGAGGCUGAAGAAAUGUGCUGCAGCUGAAGGAGGCCUCAGCUCCUGAAGCUCUGAAUUUACAGUACACAGUAGCAGACGGCUUGCCCUUUGGAAGGCUCCAUGGAAAGAAGGC